AUACUCUGGUUUCUCUUCACACUUUAAAAAUCUUUGGCCUUUUACUAAAGAUUUCCGUGAAGAGAAACUAUUACGAGUUGGCAACUAAUUUUUUGAGGCCUCGUUUCACGAGGCU